AGUAGAGGCCUGGAAUGGGAGAGGGGAUGGUGGGCAGGCUGACGAAGGGCGGGGCCGAGAGGCGGGGAGGAGCUGAAGGAGGGUCAGGCAGACGGAGCUCACCUGAAAAGCUCUGGUCCUGCUGCCAGACAUCUGCAGAGAAGAAACCUGCGUCUCAGGCGAGCUCACCUUUGAGUUCAGCAUCCUGCACCCCUUUAGGGUAAGAGCCCCUCUACCCCGUGUGGAACCUCAGGGUUCUUGCACUUGCCAUGCUGUGAGUUCAGGCAAGUAUUUGCUCUAAACCUCUUUCCUCUUCUGAAAAAUGAGACUAAGCAUGCCUGUCUUGCUGGGUUAUUGUGAAUACAUUCCAGACCCGGUAAUAAAUUCUUUAGAUAUAAUCACUUUAAAGUCAUGUAAUCUGGGGACUUCCCUGGUGGUCCAGUGGUUGAGACUCUGAACUCCGAAUGCAGGGAACCCAGGUUCGAUCUCUGGUCAGGAAACUAGAUCCUACAUGCCAGAACUAAGAGUUCACAUGCUGAAACAAAGAUUCCGCAUGCUGCAACUAAGACUUGGCACAGGAAAAUAAAUACAUAUUUUAAAUAAAGAAAUAAAUUCACCUAGUCUGAUGAGAAAGCACUAUUAGCUGAAUUUUGAUAACUAAGGAAACAGGCACAAAAGAGUCAAGUCACUAGCAUAAGGUCACGGAGCAAGUGAAUAGCCGAGUGGGGAUGUGCUUUCAGGUCUGUGUAACUGACAGGAACCCCAGCCAAGGCGCUUUCUCCUGUGACCAAGACAAGACCCAGAGUCCCCAGCCCCUUCAUCUUCCAGGUUCUGAAGUUGGCCGUGAUCCCGGGGUGGAGGGAUGGGCUUCCGAUGGGGAAGCCAGCUGUGCAGAGCUGAAUCCGUGCAGACCCAGCCUCGCUCCCUCACAGCUGCCAACAACUCUCAGCCCGGUGCCUCCGCUACCCCCGCCUCUGCUAAUUGCUGUGCCCCCUGCAGUGGAAGCAUGGAGUUCUGACCACUGGACCACCACAGGGAAGUCCGGACAGUCAAUGGCUUUCAAGUCUAGAUCCUGGAAUUCUAGUUUUCUGCUCUUACAUACUCUGAUUGCAAAAGGCUAAGAGUUUAUCUAUUUAAAGUAUUUCAGACCCUACAAUUCUAAGAUUCUAGACUCUUCCAUGCCUUUGUUUUGGUGUUUCUCAACCUUUUUUCAUUAUCAGUCCCCUAAGAAGGCUUUCUAAGAACCUUCAUUUGUUCCCUCAUGAAAUGUUAAUACCACAGAUAUGCUAUAAAUCUGUGGGCUAUGUGCAUAUCUCUGCUUUAAAUAUAAAAGGGUAAGAUUU